CAGCCGCCGCGGUAAUACGUAGGUGGCAAGCGUUGUCCGGAAUUAUUGGGCGUAAAGGGCUCGCAGGCGGUUUCUUAAGUCUGAUGUGAAAGCCCCCGGCUCAACCGGGGAGGGUCAUUGGAAACUGGGAAACUUGAGUGCAGAAGAGGAGAGUGGAAUUCCACGUGUAGCGGUGAAAUGCGUAGAGAUGUGGAGGAACACCAGUGGCGAAGGCGACUCUCUGGUCAGUAACUGACGCUGAGGAGCGAAAGCGUGGGGAGCGAACAGGAUUAGAUACCCGUGUAGUCCCUGUCUCUUAUAC
rnacentral:rRNA from 1 species